UUAUCGGAAUGAGAACAAUUCAAAUCCUUUAACGAGGAUCUAGCGGAGGGCAAGUCUGGUGCCAGCAGCCGCGGUAAUUCCAGCUCCGCAGGUGUAUAUCUAUGCUGCUGCGGUUAAAAAGCUCGUAGUUGGAUCUGCGUGCUCGGAACUGGUUGGCUCACUGAGUUCAAACUGGUCUCCGGCGCUUUAUUGGCUGGUUUUCCCUUGAUGCUCUUAACCGGGUGUCUUGGGUGGCUAGCACGUUUACUUUGAAAAAAAUUAGAGUGCUCAAUACAGGCGUAAAGCCUUGAAUAGUGGUGCAUGGAAUAAUAGAAUAGGACCUCGGCUCUAUUUUGUUGGUUUUCGGAACGCGAGGUAAUGGUUAAGAGGGACAGACGGGGGCAUUCGUAUUGCGACGUUAGAGGUGAAAUUCUUGGAUCGUCGCAAGACGGACGACUGCGAAAGCAUUUGCCAAGAAUGUUUUCAUUAAUCAAGAACGAAAGUUAGAGGUUCGAAGGCGAUCAGAUACCGCCCUAGUUCUAACCGUAAACGAUGCCAACUAGCGAUUCGCAGGCGUUAAACAACGACCUUGCGGGCAGCUUCCCGGAAACGAAAGUGUGUUCCGGGGGAAGUAUGGUUGCAAAGCUGAAACUUAAAGGAAUUGACGGAAGGGCACCACCAGGAGUGGAGCCUGCGGCUUAAUUUGACCCAACACGGGAAAACUCACCCGGCCCGGACACCGUAAGGAUUGACAGAUUGAGAGUUCUUUCUUGAUUCGGUGGGUGGUGGUGCAUGGCCGUUCUUAGUUGGUGGAGCGAUUUGUCUGGUUUAUUCCGAUAACGAACGAGACUCUGGCCUACUAAAUAGUGGGCGGAUUCUUUCUGUCCGCGACACUUCUUAGAGGGACAAGCGGUGUUCAGCCGCACGAGAUUGAGCAAUAACAGGUCUGUGAUGCCCUUAGAUGUCCGGGGCUGCACGCGCGCUACACUGAAGGAAUCAGCGUGCUUUCUGACCUUGCCCGAAAGGGCUGGGUAACCCGAUGAAAAUCCUUCGUGAUUGGGAUAGGGACUUGCAAUUAUUUCCCUUGAACGAGGAAUUCCCAGUAAGUGUGGGUCAUAAGCUCGCGUUGAUUACGUCCCUGCCCUUUGUACACACCGCCCGUCGCUGCCCGGAACUGAGCCGUUUCGAGAAGAACAGGGACCGUCGUUGAAGGGCCUUAACGGGCUUUUCUCUGAUAGAAACUGUU
rnacentral:rRNA from 1 species